UACCAGCACCCCGAGUGGGCGGGACGUUUAUUGGGCCUAAAGCAUCCGUAGCCGGUUCUACAAGUCUUCCGUUAAAUCCAACUGCUUAACAGGUGGGCUGCGGAAGAUACUAUAGAGCUAGGAGGCGGGAGAGGCAAGCGGUACUCGAUGGGUAGGGGUAAAAUGCGUAGAGAUGUGGAGGAACACCAGUGGCGAAGGCGACUUUCUGGUCUGUAACUGACGCUGAGGCGCGAAAGCGUGGGGAGCAAACAGG
rnacentral:rRNA from 1 species